rnacentral:rRNA from 1 species
AGGACGAACGCUGGCGGCGCGCUUAACACAUGCAAGUCGCACGAGAAAGGGGAGCAAUCCCUGAGUACAGUGGCGCACGGGUGAGUAACACGUGAAUAAUCUACCUCCGAGUGGGGAAUAACUGAGAGAAAUCUUAGCUAAUACCGCAUAACACUUACGAGUCAAAGCAGCAAUGCGCUUGGAGAGGAGUUCGCGGCCGAUUAGUUAGUUGGCGGGGUAAUGGCCCACCAAGACGAUGAUCGGUA